rnacentral:rRNA from 1 species
GACGAACGCUGGCGGCGUGCUUAACACAUGCAAGUCGUACGGUAAGGCCCUUUCGGGGGUCCACGAGUGGCGAACGGGUGAGUAACACGUGAGUAACCUGCCCACAACUUUGGGAUAACGCUAGGAAACUGGUGCUAAUACUGGAUAUGUGCUCCUGCUGCAUGGUGGGGGUUGGAAAGCUCCGGCGGUUGUGGAUGGACUCGCGGCCUAUCAGCUUGUUGGUGGGGUAGUGGCCUACCAAGGCGGCGACGGGUAGCCGGCCUGAGAGGGUGACCGGCCACAUUGGGACUGAGAUACGGCCCAGACUCCUACGGGAGGCAGCAGUGGGGAAUAUUGCACAAUGGGCGCAAGCCUGAUGCAGCACCGCCGCGUGCGGGAUGACGGCCUUCGGGUUGUAAACCGCUUUCAGCAGGGACGAAGCUUUUUGUGACGGUACCUGCAGAAGAAGCACCGGCUAACUACGUG